UGCCUAGCAACUCCUAUCCCUACCUCCUUGUGGUACUGGCCGGGGUAAGAAAAGGAUGGUAGG
rnacentral:ribozyme from 1 species